rnacentral:rRNA from 1 species
GAAUGGCUUAGUGAGGCUUUCGGACUGGCUCAGGGUGCGCGGCAACGCCUGCCCAGAGCCGGAAAGUUGUUCAAANUUNGUCAUUUAGAGGAAGUAAAAGUCGUAACAAGGUUUCCGUAGGUGAACCUGCGGAAGGAUCAUUACAAGUGANNGNGCUACCGAACGUUGGAAACWGNNNNNCCGGUUAGGAGCUUACACCCACCCGUGUCUACAUACUAUUGUUGCUUUGGCGGGCCGUGGCCUCCACUGCGGGCUCUGCUCGUGUGUGCCCGCCAGAGAACCAAACUCUGAAUGUUAGUGAUGUCUGAGUACUAUCUAAUAGUUAAAACUUUCAACAACGGAUCUCUUGGUUCUGGCAUCGAUGAAGAACGCAGCGAAAUGCGAUAAGUAAUGUGAAUUGCAGAAUUCAGUGAAUCAUCGAAUCUUUGAACGCACAUUGCGCCCUGUGGUAUUCCGCAGGGCAUGCCUGUUCGAGCGUCAUUUAACCACUCACGCCUAGCGUGGUAUUGGGGCACGCGGUCUCCGCGGCCCUCAAAAUUAGUGGCGGCGCCGGUGGGCUCUAAGCGUAGUACAUACUCCCGCUAUAGAGUUCCCCCGGUGGCUCGCCAGAACCCCCAAUUUUUACNAGGUUGACCUCGGAUCAGGUAGGGAUACCCGCUGAACUUAAGCAUAUCAAUAAGCGGAGGAAAAGAAACCAACAGGGAUUACCUCAGUAACGGCGAGUGAAGCGGUAACAGCUCAAAUUUGAAAGCUGCCAACAGGCCGCGUUGUAAUUUGUAGAAGCUGCUUUGGGUGUCGGCCCGGUCUAAGUUCCUUGGAACAGGACGUCAUAGAGGGUGAGAAUCCCGUAUGUGAUCGGUGCCGUUGCCCGUGUAAAGCGCUUUCGACGAGUCGAGUUGUUUGGGAAAUGCA